rnacentral:lncRNA from 1 species
AUGGCAGUUUCCCCUGGGCUUUUCUCUCUCUCUCUCCUGCGGACUCGCGAAGAAGUUGCUGGCUGCCCCUUUUGCCAUGAUUGUACGUUUCCUGAGGCCUCUCCAGCCAUGUGGAACUUUGUGGCCAUAGAAUGCUUGGGACAGCUUGGUUACAUAAAGAAGAUAACAAAUUCAAUGAAGAAACUCAGAAACGGAAAACUGACAAAUAGAAUAAACAAGUUUAUCAUAUUUCCAAAGGGAAAACAUAAAGGGUUUGCCAAGGGGAUUGUAAGGUUUGCUAAACUUCGAUGUGUGUGAGUGUAUAAUGUAGUUUCUAGGAAUUUUGGCCAUUUCCCUCAUAUAACACUGCUAAGUUACAGAGAAAGCAGACAAGUAAACAAAAUAUUUACAAACAUCUCAGAGGACAUUUAUGGGCCUUUGGCUUUACACACUCUCUUUGUGUUUGCUUCUUACCUCAAGUUGUUCUUCGUUUCCCAACAGAAAGAUAUCAUGUCUGUUUAUUAUUUAAGUCAGGCAGAUUUCCUCUAAAAACUACAUUCUCACAUAUCUCCAUAGAAAUAAUGAACACUGGUUUAUUUCAAAUCUUCCAAAUAUAACCAGAAGUAAAAAAUGUAAAAGGCAUUAAUCAUAUUAUUCCCUAUCUUUUAGACUUAUUUGGCUGGAUGACUCUAUGUGUAAAAAUUUAUUUUGAUUCUAACUAAAAAUUUAAUACAGUAACUGCUACAUUUCAAUUAUUUGGGGGCCCCCAAAAGUUGACAAAACAUAGUACUGGGGUUUAAUCUGCUUUUUGUGGAGUUCCCUAAAUUGCUUCAAAUGCAUUUUCUUUUUAACCCUAAUGUCAACAGCUGGAAAUCGAAUCAUGACAUGCUUCAUUAGUUAAAUGAAAAAUAUGAAAAAUAAAAAUUUGAUACACUAGUGUUAAUAUAAAGGUUACCUUUUUUUGUUCACUUCACAUCUCUAGUCAAUUUCACUCAGGAAGAGAAGGAUACUCCUCCUGCAGAAAGGGUAUUUGGCUGAUCCCACCUCUGUCUUGUACAUACAGAAGAUGAUUCUCCUCUCAAAGGAUUUUCUACUCAUUAUUCCUAUGAUCAGUGUGCCUUUUCAUAAACUAGGAAGAAACAAGUUUUCUAUGCACGUGGCAAUGAGUAAAUUGAGGCUUAUGGUUACUCAAAGCCCAUCUCAGUUCUGAAUGAUGAUUCUUUAGAUUUUCUAAAACAAUCAUGUUUUUGUGGAAGUGGGCAGUCUGUUCAGGAUUGGCCAUGAGCUGUGAAAGGAAUCAGGGAAAGUGAUCUCUGUGAGCCCUACUCCAUUUCCCUGGUGUACUUGCUUUCCUCAUCUCUGAGAAGGCAAAUUGAUGUCAUCUCCUCUGUCAUCAAACUUUCAACUUCACUUUCCCAUUCUUCACUAUCAGCUGGUGACCUCAUUUGUUAUUUCACUGAGAAAACAGAAGCAUUCAGAAGAAUAUGAUCUCAUCCUUGCAUCACCAAAUUGACCAACCUUUACAUGUUCUUGUAUAUCAACUUUUCUCUUGUUCAAAUGAGGAGUCCUGUGCUCUUCUAAGGUCACUGGUCCCAUCCAUCCUUCCACAACUAUCAUCUCUCUCUUGCAUCAUUAUUUUAUCUAACUAAAUUAUUCCCCUGAGGCUUCAAGUAUAAGGCCUUUUGUCUUAAAUAAAAACAAACCCUCUGUUGACCACAUACCCACGUCUAGCCCACUUCUUUGCUCUUCUUUAGUAAAAUUCCUGCCAUGACUGGGUAUACUCAAUAUAUUCUUAAUAUAUUGAACCUACUGUAAUCAGCUUUUCACCUUCACUAUUUCACAGAAACUGCUCUUGUUCAUAAAACCACUCACCUCCCCGUUUGACAAGCCAAAGGUCAGUUCUGUGUCACCUCCUGGCUUGUGCCCUGUGUAAUAUUUGGCACUGUCAACCACUCUUGCCUUUUUGAAUGCUUCCUUCUUUGAGCAUCUGAGAUGACACCACUCUCUUGGGAUUUGUUACCUCACUGAUUGCUCCUUCCCAACCCUGACCUCUCAAUGUUGGCACACCUCAGGUUUCAGGCCUCAGCUCUCCUUUUUCUUCCAUUUGUACACUUUUCCUAGCUGACUUAUUCUGUGUAAAUUUUUUUUUUUUUUUUUUUUUUUUUUUUUGUGAUGGAGUCUUGCUCAGUCACCCAGGCUGGAAUGUGGUGGUGUGAUCUCAGCUUACUGCAACCUCCGCCUCCCAGGUUCAAGUGAUUCUUCUGCCUCAGCCUCCUGAAUAGCUGGGAUUACAGGGCAUCUGCCACCAUGCCUGGCUAAUUUUUGCAUUUUUAGUAGAGACGAUGUUUCACCAUGUUGGCCAGGCUGGUCUCAAACUCCUGACCUCAAGUGAUCCACCUACCUCGGCCUCCCAAAGUGCUGGGAUUACAGGCAUGAGCCGCUGCACCCAGCCCUGUGUAAUGGUUUUAAACAUCUUCAGUAUGCUAAAGUUUAUAUUCUUCAGUCACGACUUCCCUCCUGAGAUUCAGAUUUGUGGGUGUAACUGGUUAUUUUAAGUUUCUGCUUGAAUGUCUAAUUGAGAUCUCAAAUGUUAGCGUGUCCAAAACAUAAUUCUUUAUAUUCUUACCCAAAACAUAUGAUUCCCUAAGCUUCUCCAACUGAAUAAGUAGCAUUAUAUUUUGUUCUGGUCCUCAAACUAGGAAGCAUAGUGGAUUUCUCUCUUUUCUUUACCCUCCAUACCCAAUCCGUUAACCAGCGCUGUUGGUUCUGCUUUUCUAAUACAUCCUGAAUCUGAUCACCCCUCACUGUUGUCACUGCUCCCAUCCAUUCUGGAACAGUUGACUGUCAUGCUAGGCCUGGCCUCCCAACAUAGCCUCUUCACUGGGCUUCGUGUUUCUUUUGUGCCAUUUCUGCAAUCAGCUUCUCAUUGGUUCCCAUCGCAUUUGGAAUAAAGCCCGUUAUUCUGCAUUAUCUAGUGUGGUCAAACUCUCCUACUACAUUCUCCUUGACUCCCUCCACUUGUGCUGUACUUACCGUUUUGACAUUCUUCGAACCAUCUGUGCUCCUACCUGCCUUAGAGCCUUUCCACACCUCUUCCCUUAAUGCUGAUGCUCUUCUCCCACUUCUUGAUAUAAUUCAGAUCUCUGCUCAGACAUCACCUUUUCAAAGAGACCUUCCCUAAUUGCAUGAUUAAACACAUUGCUGUCC